AAGAUAAAGGCUUACACUCGCCACAAGCUACAUCAUGAAUAUAGUAGUCAUCAAUACAUAGCAAUCAUCAUACAGAAGAGCAGGAUCCGACUACGGAUGAAAUCAAACGAAAAAGAAGAAUGACAUCCACCCUGCUAGUCCCAGGCUCCCCGACCCGGAACCUAUCCCUUGAUCGAAUAAGAAGAAGAACUCCAAAAGCAAGCAAGCAUCACUCUCAUGUCAAAGCUUCACAUAACCUGCACCUGCAAUAGUUGUUGUAGUAAUCUAUGAGCCACGAAGACUCAGCAAUCCCAUUACCAUGGGUAUCAAGACUAGCAAAUCUUAAUGGGUAUGGAUUGGAUAAGUGGUGAGGUUGCAACAGCACUAAGAUUUAUAUGGUGGCUAACUUAUGAGUACAAGAGUAAGAUGAGAAACUAUGCAAACAGUCGCAAACUAGUAAUGAUCAAGAAGUGAUCAUGAACUACUUACGUUCAAACAUAACCCAACCGUGUUCUCCUCUCGAACUUCCCCGAAAAUAGACAGUCACGGUUACGCACGUGGUUGGUGUAUUUUAAUUGAGUUUAGUCCAAGUCCUCUACAGCCGGAUAUUAACAAAUUCCCAUUUGCCACAUAACCGCGGGCACGACUCUCGAAAAUUUAAACCCUGCAGGAGUGUCUCAACUUAGCCCAUGACAAGCUCACAAUCCGUGGAGACAAUCUUCCAUCUCGGGACAUCCGAUCAGACUCGGGAUCCCGAUGCACAAGACAUUUCGACAAUGGUAAAACUAGUCCAGCAAGACCUCCCGGCGUGCCGACACCCUGACAAUAGCCGCACGUAUCUUGUCGCAGGCCACGUCCGGAUGGGUCAUCCUACAGGUAUAUACCAAAUACCUUGGGUUUCCCCGAGGCGGCCCCACAGUCUGCCCGUUUGGGACCAACACCAUCAGUGUUGGCCCCCUAUAUUAGGUUGAAUAACGAACCUCCGGUAGCGCUAACUCCCUAUGCAUCAAGUUUAUUAUCAUGUUAAGUUAUUAUGUUGAGCAAAUGGUAAAACAAAUGUUGAGCCUUGCUGGAAGAGUUUUAUUCAAAGCAAACUGUCAAGAGGGGCCCAUAAACCCUCAUCGUGUUAGGGGCACAAAAUCAAGGAACAUAACAUCGUUAUGAUGGAAAUUAGGGCGGCAAGAGUGAAUCAAAACACCAAGCAAAAGGCUAAGCCUUCCACCCUUUACCAAGUAUAUAGAUGCAUUAAUUAAAUAAGAGAUAUUGUGAUAUCCCAUGAUAUCCGUGUCCCAACAUGGAACAAACUGCAACUGUACCUGCAACUAGCAACACUAUAAGAGGGGCUGAGCAAAGCGGUAACAUAGCCAAACAACGGUUUGCUGGGAUGAUGGAAAAGGUUAGAGGCUGUCAUGGCAAUUUGGGAGGCUUGAUAAACAAGUGGUAGGAAGCGCGACAUAUCGAUAGCAUCGAGACCACUAGCAUAGCAAAGAUAGUAGUGAGAUCCAAGGUGACGGUCAUCUUGCCUGCAAUCCCGCUAGGAAGAAGACUGAGUCCAUGAAGAAGAUGAACCAGCAUAGUCGAACGGAUCCUCACAAUCGAAAUGUAACCGGAAGGAAAAGCCCAACCGGAAAGAAGCAAACAACAUAGUAA
rnacentral:lncRNA from 1 species